GGCAAAUAUUAUGGAUGGCACUUCAUUUCAUAAUAGAACCUGUAUGCACAGCAAUUAGCAGCCGGAAAAUGAGCAGGACAGAGCCAACGUUAGGCAUGCGUAAUGUUUUCAUUAUAGGAGUUACAAAUCACCUAUUAAUCUCCCUCUAAACACCCAGCAACACGCACGCAUUCCUCACCUCAAAGUUGGUUCUGUGCAACUGCUCUAGGUAAACAGAACGAGAUGCCAGGAGGCAGCCUGUCGGUGUUUGAUUUAUGGCGUGAACUGAGCGCCUUUGUGUGUUAAAGACUUGAUUAACCCCCAGGAGCAAAGUGUCACAAUAUCAAACAGCUCCACUGGAGGCUGGCCCUGCAAGGCCCGGCCCACAUGGCCUGCCCAGGACAGUCUGUGUGUCCAGGGUGGUCUGCGUGUCCAGGAUGGUCUGCGUGUCCAGGACAUCUGUGUGUCCAGGGUGGUCUGCGUGUCCAGGGAAUCUGUGUGUCCAGGGUGAUCUGUGUGUCCAGGGUGGUCGUAUGUCCAGGAUGGUCUCUGUGUCCAGGGAAGUCUGCAUGUCCUAGGACAGUCUGUGUGUCCAGGAUGUGUGUCCUGGGAAGUUUGCAUGUCCAGGACCCCCAGGGAGCAUUUGCACUUGAUCCAGCUGUGGGGGUUCUUAUGGAUGCCGUCUACAGAAGGGUCACUCUGAAUCCAAAACUCUGAGCAGCAAUGUGUCCUAAGACACUCCUGUCUGCAGCCAGACGGCAUCCUCUCCAGCCUCGCUUCUCGGAGCCGCAUGCUGACCCCGGGCUGUGGGGCACACCUGCCGUAGAUGAGGACAGCCCACUCGACACACACAGGGUCUGCUUGCUUCAGCGCAUGAUCGAGGACCCAUGCGUGUUCACGCAGAGCUCACACACAGAGCUCAGCUGGUGGGGGCAGGAGCUUGUCCCCUCCGCGUCUAGACAACCGCCAAGCCCUGACCAAAACCCUGGCCAGAUGCCUCACGAAACUCGGAAGAUGCACCUACCCUCCUCCAGCACCCAGGGGCUCGGGAAGGAUCCCAUAAGCAAACCCAUCAACAUUCCCGCAGGGAGACAGUUUCGUUACACACGCGUGAUAAAUAGACUCAAAACACCCAUGUUUGUGUCGGGGCGCCACUUCCAACAGGACCAACGGCGGUUGUGUCUCCAAAGGCGUUGGCUUCAGUUCUGGAGGCCAGUACCUGGGCCAAGCCCAGGUGACAGGGGUUGUCAGGCCGCACCUGUGACAGCAGGGGCUGCCGCGUGGAGUCUGCCUGUUGAACUCCCGUAACAGCCCAACCUGCCGGAUGAUGGAAGUUAAAUCCCGUCCAUAGGCCGCCCCUCUUUGUCUCCCGAGGCCUGGGGUCUAACAAACUCUGACAUUUGGGGAAGGGUCUUCCGGUGCUCAGUCUGCAGCAGCCACUGCUGAUGCCCCACCAUCUACUUCCCAGCUUAGGCCCUGGUCGCUGCCAAGGCCAGACCCCAAGGGGCGUAGGCACCAAUGUCCUGCAAGGUUCUGACCCUCCAG
rnacentral:lncRNA from 1 species